rnacentral:rRNA from 1 species
GACGAACGCUGGCGGCGUGCUUAACACAUGCAAGUCGAGCGGUAAGGCCCUUUCGGGGGUACGACGAGCGGCGAACGGGUGAGUAACACGUGGGUGACCUGCCCUCAGCUCUGGGAUAAGCCUGGGAAACCGGGUCUAAUACUGGAUAUGACUCCAUGACGCAUGUUGUGGGGUGGAAAGCCUUGUGCGGCUGAGGAUGGGCCCGCGGCCUAUCAGCUUGUUGGUGGGGUGANGGCCUACCAAGGCGACGACGGGUAGCCGGCCUGAGAGGGCGACCGGCCACACUGGGACUGAGACACGGCCCAGACUCCUACGGGGAGGCAGCAGUGGGGAAUCUUGCGCAAUGGGCGAAAGCCUGACGCAGCGACGCCGCGUGAGGGAUGACGGCCU